rnacentral:rRNA from 1 species
GACGAACGCUGGCGGCGUGCCUAAUACAUGCAAGUAGAACGCACAGUUUAUACCGUAGCUUGCUACACCAUAGACUGUGAGUUGCGAACGGGUGAGUAACGCGUAGGUAACCUGCCUGGUAGCUGGGGAUAACUAUUGGAAACGAUAGCUAAUACCGCAUAAUAUUAAUUAUUGCAUGAUAAUUAAUUGAAAGGUGCAAUUGCACCACUACCAGAUGGACCUGCGUUGUAUUAGCUAGUAGGUGAGGUAACGGCUCACCUAGGCGACGAUACAUAGCCGACCUGAGAGGGUGAGCAGCCACACUGAGACUGAGACACGGCCCAGACGGCUACAGGAGGGAGCAGUAGGGAAUCGUCGGCAAGGGACGAAAGUCUGACCGAGCAACGCCGAGUGAGUGAAGAAGGUUGUCGGAUCGUAAAGCUCUGUUGUAAGAGAAGAACGGGUGUGAGAGUGGAAAGUUCACACUGUGACGGUAUCUUACCAGAAAGGGACGGCUAACUACGUG